UUUAUUCCCUUCUCGGAUCUUUGACGGAGUUGAAGAUUAUAUAAUUGUAAUUACUCUCUACAUUAUUUAGACUCCUUGAGAUAGAAUGUCUGGUAAAACUUUUGUUCUCAAUAUUGUUUGUUAUAUCUAUUAUUUAUUAUUAUUGUUUAUAGUUGUAUUUAGGUUAGUUCUGUCUUAUUUAGACAAAAGGAGGGAGAUGUAGGGAUAAGCCCUCCCCUUGGGGGCGGGCUGCCCUCGGGCGUAUGUUUACUGAUAUAUUGGGCGGGCAGAGGCUGCGCGCCCCUUCCCUUCCUCUCCUGUCUCCGCCGGCUACUCCGCUGGAACCUUGGUUUCGAUAUAUACUGCACUACCACUUUCUCUGCAAAGAGUAGACCUGGAACAGGGCAGGGAUCCUUGAAUUCAAAUCAGACCAGAACAAACUGUAUUAAAAGCCCGGAGAUGACAUUUACAACUCAGGUUCCUCUGUGGGCAAUGACACUCACUGCCAGGACUGAUGACUUGGGUUUAUGUCCAGGUUCCAAUUGUUAGAAGUUUAGGGUGUUUAGGACCUGGUAAUUGAGGGAAGAAUUCAUCUGACCUGUUUGAAGUGAAUCCAAGUCAAUUUACAAGAAUUCCUUGCAUUCUAUUCAGAAAACUGUGAAUAAAGUCAAAACGUGGCUGCCUGCAACUUUGGGAGACUGCCUAAGAUUUCUGAGUUCUUGGUUGUGAUUGUUGGCCAUUUGUUUCAAAGUCCAGAGAUAUGAUAAUAAAUCUCAGUUGCCUACCAUUUCCUAGAUAAUGACUUCUUCAGAUAACAAGCUUUUCUGAGAACAGCCUGGCUACAUACAUGGAUUGAAUGGGAGGAUCUACAUUUUUUUAUUGAAAGCAACCAUCAAUAAGAAACAAAGUGUACUUAAUGAUUUUAAAAUGCAAAAUCAAAGGAUUUGUCCCAUAAGCAGGACCUUAUAGUGAGUAUCUUUUCUGGAACAUUCUACUUCUUUGAAGGAGGGCUUUUGGUUUCUGUUCUAAAUUAGUAGGAAAUUACAUUAUUUGAAAAGAUACCAUUUAAGUUGGUGUACCCCAGCAUAUAUUUGAACAAAUUGCUACUGUUUCAUUAUGUU